GUGUACCCGCGGCAAGACGGAAAGACCCCGUGAACCUUUACUAUAGCUUGACACUGAACAUUGAGCCUUGAUGUGUAGGAUAGGUGGGAGGCUUUGAAGCGUGGACGCCAGUCUGCGUGGAGCCGACCUUGAAAUACCACCCUUUAAUGUUUGAUGUUCUAACGUUGGCCCCUUACCGGGGUUGCGGACAGUGUCUGGUGGGUAGUUUGACUGGGGCGGUCUCCUCCCAAAGCGUAACGGAGGAGCACG
rnacentral:rRNA from 1 species